GACAGAGGGUGCAAACGUUGUUCGGAAUUACUGGGCGUAAAGCGCGUGUAGGCGGUCAUGUAAGUCGGAUGUGAAAGCCCUCGGCUCAACCGAGGAAGUGCACUCGAAACUGCGUGACUGGAGUCUCGGAGAGGAUCGUGGAAUUCUCGGUGUAGAGGUGAAAUUCGUAGAUAUCGGGAGGAACACCGGUGGCGAAGGCGGCGACCUGGGUCGAUACUGACGCUGAUGCGCGAAAGCGUGGGGAGCAAACAGG
rnacentral:rRNA from 1 species